UGUGUUUAUAUGACAUGACACGUCUGUGUGUGUUUAUAUGACAUGACACGUCUGUGUGUGUUUAUAUGACAUGACACGUCUGUGUGUGUUUAUAUGACAUGACACGUCUGUGUGUGUUUAAAUGACAUGACACGUCUGUGUGUGUGUUUAAAUGACAUGACACGUCUGUGUGUGUUUAUAUGACAUGACACGUCUGUGUGUGUUUAAAUGACAUGACACGUCUGUGUGUGUUUAAAUGACAUGACACGUCUGUGUGUGUUUAAAUGACAUGACACGUCUGUGUGUGUUUAAAUGACAUGACACGUCUGUGUGUGUUUAUAUGACAUGACACGUCUGUGUGUGUUUAUAUGACAUGACACGUCUGUGUGUUUUGUAGUUUGGGUAUUGGGGUGAAAGGUGUACAGUAGAGCUGGGAGAUAUGAAAAAAACAUUAUCCAUGUCACAAUAACUGGCUGAAUUAUCACGUUAAUGAUGAAUUGAACAAUGUUUAUUCAUCUGCACCAGUUAUGUGUUUAGAUUACCCUUAGUAGGGCUGACUCCAAUCAGUCCACUGGUCCAUUGUUUGGUCCUUAGGCUGUUGGUCGACUGAGAUUGUUUUAGUUGAGCAGUAAAACAUAUAUAUUUUCACCUAUCUCAGUGAACUCAUCCAUUGCUGAGGCCUAGACCAAAAGCCAAUUUAUGCUUGAUUUGAAAUUGUGGUGGAGCCUCCAGAGGCCAAAUUGAGCUCUAUACCACUUCACUAUGUCCCUCCCAAAUGUUGUACCAAUGUGGAGGGCUCUGUAUAGCUCCACGAUGACAUGAUUGGUUCACGGUAGGUGAGGGUGGUACAUCCUGUAUAAACACACUCCCUUGACAACAGCUCUGCACUGCUCCGUAAGGAGUAUGAAUGCCCUGACUUCUACUGAGGUCCUUCUUGCCCUGACUUCUACUGAGGUCCUUCUUGCCCUGACUUCUACUGAGGUCCUUCUUGCCCUGACUUCUGCUGAGGUCCUUCUUGCCCUGACUUAUACUGAGGCCGUUCUUGCCCUGACUUCUACUGAGUCCCUUCUUGCCCUGACUUCUGCUGAGGCUGUUCUUGCCCUGACUUCUGCUGAGGCUGUUCUUGCCCUGACUUCUGCUGAGUCCCUUCUUGCCCUGACUUCUACUGAGGCCCUUCUUGCCCUGACUUCUACUGAGGCCGUAUCACUGUAAAUGCUGCAUGGCCAAUGCAAACGUCAGAUUGACCAUGCACCCAGAUGCACAAUGCACUUCUCCAACCAGAAUGCACUUCUCUCUCCAGAAUGCACUUCUCUCCCACCUAUUGGUGCACAUUUGUUUCAUAACUUCAUUGUGUGAGUUGGUAGUGUAUAUCACUUCCCAAUAUCACCAGUAGUAUGUUUACCGUUAAUUCAUAUGAUUUCUAAUCCACAAUGUUUGUUACUUUGGUUAUGGUAGUUUAUUUUAAUCCAUUGAGUAGUAUUCCGCUAGUCCUGUUCUCAUUGUCUGAGUGGACACAUUGUUUGCAGAGUGCACAACCUAUGCUACACUAGUGAGAAUUUGGGGGUUUAUCUCAGUCCAUUUAUGAGUUUUGUCAAUUUCAUUUUGUUAUUGUCUUUCGUUUGGAGUGCUCCUGUCAAUGUUGAGUAAGGACGGGCACGCGUAGAAGUAGGCCUAUAGGCUAUGUGGCCUGAUUUACACAGAAGUAGGCCUAUAGGCUCCGUGGCCUGAUUUACACAUAGAAGUAGGCCUAUAGGCUCCGUGGCCUAAUUUACAUAUAGAAGUAGGCCAAUAGACUACGUGGCCUGCGCGCAAAUGUAGGCAUAUAAAUGUCCUCAUUUGGGGAUCUGAUAGUAUUUCUGAUUGGCUUAAUGCACCACCACUAAUGACCUGUGGAGCUUCUCAAAGUGAUGUUUUCUUCACCUCAAACAAAUUCUGUAUUUAGAUACAUUGACAAUUACAAUAGUUCCUCAAUGUAUUUGAAAAAUCUUUCCAGCUCUCGCCCUUUCGAUAACCACUCAGCGUGACAGGGAAAAUGCUCUGAUCCAGUGGGAAUGUCAUAAAAUAGGCUUCUCAUCAGUGCUUGACUUGGACUGAAAUAGGUUCCGGUAGUCAUUUUGGGUGUCAGUACUGUUUAUAUUUAGGUGCAGGAGCUCCACAAUACUUCUGAGAUGAUAUUUAUUAAGAGGAACUGGAGCUCAAGUAGUAGAACAUUUGAGGUAAGCUCCUGCCCAAGUCAAGCACUGCUUCUUAUCCCUUGAGCAAAUAGCCUACAGCUGUGUCUGUCCCAAGCUCGCUAGUGCAAGCUUUGGGCCAGACCCAUUAAUUGUAUCAAUGUUUAAAGUUCUUUGCAGACAGGCCAUGUGUAGCCAAUGCGAUUUAUAGGAUUUUUAACAUUUUAAAUCAGGAUAUUUUCUACCUGCAGGUUGCAAUGUUUUUAUUUGUUGGCUUUAUGCAGGCUAUUUUUACAUUGUUGGCAAUGGCAAUUGAACUUACUUUUUAGGUUUAUCAUUUAGAUUUGGAUGAAAUUUGUUAACCACAUGACAAUGAUUUUGUGAUAAGACCUUAUAAAUUAAAUGAAACCAUUCCACGUACAUGUGCACUUAAACCAUUACUGGCACGCAGAUUGGUAGAAAUGGUAAGAUAAAUUGGCAUUCCACAUGAGAAAGGUUGCAGACUCCUCGUGUAGCCUAUCACCGGCAACUUCAAGAGAGUAAUGGCAGAAUCUGCUGGAGGAGAAUAGUUGGGUCAGGUUUUUUUCUUCUGGUUAUCUUGAUCUCUGGCACCCUCUUGAGGCAUCAACCCGUACGCUUAAAGCAUCAGACAAGCUCAAUGCAUAUAGUUGAUAUUAUUAAAACACAUGGUGUGUAUAAAAUGGAAAAAUACACGUUUAAAUGUUGAGCAAUUGAUUGGUCGACAUAACAUGACUUUCGGUCAAGUGAGAUUUAUUUUUUUAGUCGGACAGCCCUAACCCUUACAACUACUUAAAUGUUGCAGCUAUCAAUUGUCCCAUGAACAAUCACCCAUAUUAGCAAACUUAUUUAAUUUAAAACUUCACAUUUCUUUAGUAGGGCCCUAUAGGUUAUUUGGGUAAUUCUGCGGAAAUUAUCGAUUUUGUAGAGCCAACAUGACUUUUAUUUUUUUUUACCAAAACUUAGUAAAGUUAACCCUUUACCAUUAUAAAUCAACAUAAAUGCCAUCUUAAUGUAUUUUAAUAUUUUUUGCCUUUUUUGUCACGGGUGUUACCUAUAUUUUAGAUGACAAUUCAGGCUUUCCUGAAUGUAAUUUCACAAUUCAAUUUGCAUAUAUAAUCAGACAAAGUUUAUGCUAAUACGUAUAAAUUCUUUUGAUUAUAAUUUAUUUUAAACCGGUAUGUGUAAAGUUCUAUUGUGCGACAUUUGUAUAUUUCUACCACUUGUUUUGUUUUAACAUCAGAAAUAAUUGAGGUUGAGUCAUCAAAAUUGGAUGAUCAUAUUCUUAAAAUGCUUACUAAUGAAUGCAGCAGCAGUUUGGUAGAUACAGAUUAACAUUAUUAUAUUAAAAUUCAAACGAUUUUAUAACAUGUUGAUUUCUAUAAUUUGACCCUGCUGGUCAUCUAUGAACAUUUGAACAUCUUGGCCAUGUUCUGUUAUAAUGUCCCUCAGGCGCAGCCAGAAGAGGACUGGCCACCCCUCAUAGCCUGGUACCUCUCUAGGUUUCUUCCUAGGUUUUGGCCUUUCUAGGGAGUUUUUCCUAGCCACCGUGCUUCAACAUCUGCAUUGCUUGCUGUUUGGGGUUUUAGGCUGGGUUUCUGUACAGCACUUUGAGAUAUCAGCUGAGGUGAGAAGGGCUUUAUAAAUAGAUUUUAUUUGAUUUCAUAUGAACAAUAAAAUCAGGGUUAUUCCUCAAAGAUUAAGAUCUCUAUGAGAACUAUAGAAACAUAACAUCUCUAUUAGAACUAUAGAAACAUAAUAUCUCUAUUAGAACUAUAGAAACACA
ensembl:lncRNA